GUACACGCUGUGACUAGCAUAUCAAUAAGCGGAGGAAAAGAAACUAACAAGGAUUCCCCUAGUAACGGCGAGUGAAGCGGGAAGAGCUCAAAUUUGAGAUCUUAAAGGGUUUCCCUUUACGAAUUGUAGUUUAAAGAAGUGUUUUCUGUUGAGGUUUUGGUAAAAGUUCUUUGGAAUAGGACAUCAUAGAGGGUGAGAAUCCCGUAUUUGACCUUUACUUUCAACUUUGUGAUACACUUUCAAAGAGUCGGAUUGUUUGGGAAUGCAGUCCAAAAUGGGUGGUAAAUUUCAUCUAAAGCUAAAUAUUGGCGAGAGACCGAUAGCGAACAAGUACCGUGAGGGAAAGAUGAAAAGAACUUUGAAAAGAGAGUUAAACAGUACGUGAAAUUGUCAAAAGGGAAGCGUUUGACACCAGUGUUGUUUUUCUGAAAAUCAAUUAAAGAACUGUUUAUGCUAAGUUGUUUAGACUUUAUCAGCUAACUGUUUAGUUUUGAGCUUUUCUUUAAUGCACUUUUCAGUUAACAAGUCAACAUCAAUUUCUUUUGCUGUAAAAAAGCUUGAGGAAGGUGGCUUGAGAUUCGUCUUAAGUGUUUAUAGCCUCUUGCCUAUGCAGUCGGAGAGAUUGAGGUCUGCAGCGUAGAUCCUUCGGGGCUAAAUGCAUUUGUGCUAAGUUAUAGCAUUUUAUAGACAACUUGUUGACUAUGAUUUGUCUUGUAGCUUACUCGCUUAUGUUAUUUUACCUACGCUUAGGAUGUUGAAGAUGUAGCACAUCAU
rnacentral:rRNA from 1 species